CAUGCCGUAAACGAUGAUUACUAGGUGUGGGGGGUCUGACCCCUUCCGUGCCGGAGUUAACACAAUAAGUAAUCCACCUGGGGAGUACGACCGCAAGGUUGAAACUCAAAGGAAUUGACGGGGGCCCGCACAAGCAGUGGAGUAUGUGGUUUAAUUCGAAGCAACGCGAAGAACCUUACCAGGUCUUGACAUCUGCCGAAUCCCGCGGAGACGCGGGAGUGCCCUUCGGGGAGCGGCAAGACAGGUGG
rnacentral:rRNA from 1 species